rnacentral:lncRNA from 1 species
UUUUUCACUGCCCUAGGGAGCAACGUAACUUUCAACAAACUGUACAAAGUUCGGCAUCGAAACCGCUACUUAUAAUAAUGAUCAUAAUUGGAAAUGGGCGGUGCGACUUUCUCGGCGUCUCUCCGCCGUCCAGCAAAAAAGACUAACUUCAACUUGCACACACUGCUCUGUGUGUGUGUGUGUGUGUUCGUUCGAGCGGUGUGGAGAAGAAACACUGUGACUAUGAUCGCUCGGGAGAGGAGAGGAGGAUAAAACGGCACGGAAGGAACCUCUUCAUUCAUCUUGAAGGCGUUUGCUGCAGACAUGAUCAUUCGGCUUGGAAGACUGACGCCGGGAUACUUCCGACUCCUCCAGGUCAGUAAGACCUGUGACCCGUGUCUAUCUACAUUUUGGGCAAAUUAACCCU